UACAGAGGGGGCAAGCGUUGUUCGGAAUUAUUGGGCGUAAAGCGCGCGCAGGCGGUCCUUUAAGUCUGAUGUGAAAGCCCACGGCUCAACCGUGGAGGGUCAUUGGAAACUGGGGGACUUGAGUGCAGGAGAGAAGAGUGGAAUUCCACGUGUAGCGGUGAAAUGCGUAGAGAUGUGGAGGAACACCAGUGGCGAAGGCGGGUCUCUGGACAGUUCCUGACGCUGAGGCACGAAGGCCAGGGGAGCAAACGGG
rnacentral:rRNA from 1 species